GACGAACGCUGGCGGCGUGCCUAAUACAUGCAAGUCGAACGCAGUGGGGACGGGUGAGUAACACGUGGGUAACCUCCCAUCAGAGGGGAUAACACUUGGCAACAGGUGCUAACCCGCUACUGAUGGAUGGACCCGCGGUGCAUGAGCUAGUUGGUGAGGUAACGGCUCACCAAGGCCACGAGGCAUAGCCGGCCUGAGAGGAUGAUCGGCCAAACUGGAACUGAGACAUGGCCCAGACUCCUACGGGAGGCAGCAGUAGGGAAUCUUGGGCAAUGGACGAAAGUCUGACCGAGCAACGCCGCGUGAGUGAAGAAGGUUUUCGGAUUGUAAAACUCUGUUGUUGGAGAGGCGGUAUCUAACCAGGAAGCCACGGCUAACUACGUGCCAGCAGCCGCGGUAAUAC
rnacentral:rRNA from 1 species